UGUAACAGGUGGAACCACCAGGGGUCGCUGCCUCCACAUCUCGAGCGCCCAUAAAAGGGAAGCUGUCGGGACUGGUGGCAGAUUGUCAAUCUCCUCUGUGUUGGACCAGGUGUGUUGGCCCACGCCUUCCACUGUUUGUCAUCAGGUUUGUGUGUGCUUUUUAUUGUAAAGACAAAACUCUUUUAAUUUGAUUUAUAUCAACUCAGUGUUUGGUGUUCUUUAUAUAGGGCCACACUACAUGUYGUAAUUUGACAAGUGCUUUACCUGGGCGUGUGGUUGAUCGACGCUGCAGUUGUUGCUGCACCCUGCUGUUCCUUUUGAUUUCCUUUUUCCAUAGUUUUUCAUUUAUUUUGUUUACUUAUUGUUUUGCAAAUAUACAUCCUCUUAUUUUGUACUAAUAAAUAUUGUCCUUUUUA